rnacentral:tRNA from 3 species
GGCCCCAUCGUCUAGUCCGGUUAGGACGCAGGGCUCUCAUCCCUGAAGCAGGAGUUCAAAUCUCCUUGGGGUCACCA